AGACAGCGUCGGUAUUCCAGCUCCAAUAGCGUAUAUUAAAGUUGUUGCAGGUUAAAAGGCUCGUAGUUGAAUUUCGGGAUCAAGGAAUCGGUCAUGCCUCGGUAUGUACUGGUUUUAUUGGUUCUCACCUUCUAAAGAACCAUGAUGUCAUUCAUUUGAUGUUAUGGGGAAUUAGGACUGUUACCUUGAAAAAAUUAGAGUGUUUAAAGCAAGCUUACGCUUGAAUACAUUAGCAUGGAAUAAUGAAAUAGGACAUCCGAUUCUAUUUUGUUGGUUUCUAGGAUCGAUGUAAUGAUUAAUAGGGAUAGUUGGGGCAUUAGUAUUCAAUUGUCAGAGGUGAAAUUCUUGGAUUUAUUGAAGACUAACUACUGCGAAAGCAUUUGCCAAGGAUGUUUUCAUUAAUCAAGAACGAAAGUUAGGGGAUCGAAGACGAUCAGAUACCGUCGUAGUCUUAACCAUAAACUAUGCCGACUAGGGAUCGGAUGAUGUUAAUUUUUAAUGACUCAUUC
rnacentral:rRNA from 1 species